UGAUAGUACCUUACUACAUGGAUACCUGUGGUAAUUCUAGAGCUAAUACAUGCUAAAAACCCCGACUUCAGGAAGGGGUGUAUUUAUUAGAUAAAAAACCAACGCCCUUCGGGGCUCCUUGGUGAAUCAUAAUAACUUAACGAAUCGCAUGGCCUUGCGCCGGCGAUGGUUCAUUCAAAUUUCUGCCCUAUCAACUUUCGAUGGUAGGAUAGUGGCCUACCAUGGUGGCAACGGGUAACGGGGAAUUAGGGUUCGAUUCCGGAGAGGGAGCCUGAGAAACGGCUACCACAUCCAAGGAAGGCAGCAGGCGCGCAAAUUACCCAAUCCCGAUACGGGGAGGUAGUGACAAUAAAUACUGAUACGGGGCUCUUUUGGGUCUCGUAAUUGGAAUGAGAACAAUUUAAAUCCCUUAACGAGGAACAAUUGGAGGGCAAGUCUGGUGCCAGCAGCCGCGGUAAUUCCAGCUCCAAUAGCGUAUAUUAAAGUUGUUGCAGUUAAAAAGCUCGUAGUUGAACCUUGGCUCUGGCUGGCCGGUCCGCCUCACCGCGAGUACUGGUCCGGCCGGAGCUUUCCUUCUGGGGAACCUCAUGGCCUUCACUGGCUGUGGGGGGAACCAGGACUUUUACUGUGAAAAAAUUAGAGUGUUCAAAGCAGGCCUUUGCUCGAAUACAUUAGCAUGGAAUAAUAGAAUAGGACGUGCGGUUCUAUUUUGUUGGUUUCUAGGACCGCCGUAAUGUUUAAUAGGGAUAGUCGGGGGCGUCAGUAUUCAGCUGUCAGAGGUGAAAUUCUUGGAUUUGCUGAAGACUAACUACUGCGAAAGCAUUCGCCAAGGAUGUUUUCAUUAAUCAGGGAACGAAAGUUAGGGGAUCGAAGACGAUCAGAUACCGUCGUAGUCUUAACCAUAAACUAUGCCGACUAGGGAUCGGACGGGAUUCUAUUAUGACCCGUUCGGCACCUUACGAGAAAUCAAAGUUUUUGGGUUCUGGGGGGGAGUAUGGUC
rnacentral:rRNA from 1 species